rnacentral:rRNA from 1 species
CGAAGGGUGCAAGCGUUACUCGGAAUUACUGGGCGUAAAGCGUGCGUAGGUGGUUUGUUAAGUCCGAUGUGAAAGCCCUGGGCUCAACCUGGGAAUGGCAUUGGAUACUGGCGAGCUAGAGUGCGGUAGAGGGCAGUGGAAUUCCCGGUGUAGCAGUGAAAUGCGUAGAGAUCGGGAGGAACAUCUGUGGCGAAGGCGACUGCCUGGACCAGCACUGACACUGAGGCACGAAAGCGUGGGGAGCAAACAGGAUUAGAUACCCUGGUAGUCCACGCCCUAAACGAUGCGAACUGGAUGUUGGGAGCAACUAGGCUCUCAGUAUCGAAGCUAACGCGUUAAGUUCGCCGCCUGGGGAGUACGGUCGCAAGACUG